rnacentral:rRNA from 1 species
CACCAGCCCCUCGAGUGGUGGGGAUGAUUAUUUGGCCUAAAGCGUCCGUAGCCGGCCGGGCAAGUUUCCCGUUAAAUCCAACGUCUCAAGCGUUGGACUGCGGGAAAUACUACCCGGCUAGAGAGUGGGAGAGGUCAGCGGUAUUCUGGGGGUAGGGGCGAAAUCCUUUGAUCCCCGGAGGACCACCAGUGGCGAAGGCUGCUGACUAGAACACGUCUGACGGUCAGGGACGAAAGCUGGGGUAGCGAACCGGAUUAGAUACCCGGGUAGUCCCAGCCGUAAACGAUGCAUGCUAGGUGUUGAGUUGGCCACGAGCCACCCCAGUGCCGCAGGGAAGCCGUUAAGCAUGCCGCCUGGGAAGUACGAUCGCAAGGUUGAAACUUAAAGGAAUUGGCGGGGGAGCACCGACCAGGCGUGAAGCCUGCGGUUU